UACGUAGGCAGCAAGCGUUGUUCGGAGUUACUGGGCGUAAAGGGUGUGUAGGCGGUUUUUUAAGUUUGGUGUGAAAUCUCCCGGCUCAACCGGGAGGGUGCGCCGAAAACUGAAGGGCUAGAGUGCGGGAGAGGAGAGUGGAAUUCCUGGUGUAGCGGUGAAAUGCGUAGAUAUCGGUAGGAACACCAGUGGCGAAGGCGGUCUCCUGGGGCAUUCUUGACGCUGAGGCGCGAAAGCUGGGGGAGCGAACGGG
rnacentral:rRNA from 1 species